rnacentral:rRNA from 1 species
AGAGUUUGAUCAUGGCUCAGAGCGAACGCUGGCGGCAGGCCUAACACAUGCAAGUCGAACGAACUCUUCGGAGUUAGUGGCGGACGGGUGAGUAACACGUGGGAACGUGCCUUUAGGUUCGGAAUAACUCAGGGAAACUUGUGCUAAUACCGAAUGUGCCCUUCGGGGGAAAGAUUUAUCGCCUUUAGAGCGGCCCGCGUCUGAUUAGCUAGUUGGUAGUGUAAUGGACUACCAAGGCGACGAUCAGUAGCUGGUCUGAGAGGAUGAUCAGCCACAUUGGGACUGAGACACGGCCCAAACUCCUACGGGAGGCAGCAGUGGGGAAUCUUGCGCAAUGGGCGAAAGCCUGACGCAGCCAUGCCGCGUGAAUGAUGAAGGUCUUAGGAUUGUAAAAUUCUUUCACCGGGGACGAUAAUGACGGUACCCGGAGAAGAAGCCCCGGCUAACUUCGUG